GAUGAACGCUGGCGGCGUGCCUAAUACAUGCAAGUCGAGCGAACGGACGAGAAGCUUGCUUCUCUGAUGUUAGCGGCGGACGGGUGAGUAACACGUGGAUAACCUACCUAUAAGACUGGGAUAACUUCGGGAAACCGGAGCUAAUACCGGAUAAUAUUUUGAACCGCAUGGUUCAAAAGUGAAAGACGGUCUUGCUGUCACUUAUAGAUGGAUCCGCGCUGCAUUAGCUAGUUGGUAAGGUAACGGCUUACCAAGGCAACGAUGCAUAGCCGACCUGAGAGGGUGAUCGGCCACACUGGAACUGAGACACGGCCCAGACUCCUACGGGAGGCAGCAGUAGGGAAUCUUCCGCAAUGGGCGAAAGCCUGACGGAGCAACGCCGCGUGAGUGAUGAAGGUCUUCGGGUCGUAAAACUCUGUUAUUAGGGAAGAACAUAUGUGUAAGUAACUGUGCACAUCUUGACGGUACCUAAUCAGAAAGCCACGGCUAACUACGUGCCAGCAGCCGCGGUAAUACGUAGGUGGCAAGCGUUAUCCGGAAUUAUUGGGCGUAAAGCGCGCGUAGGCGGUUUUUUAAGUCUGAUGUGAAAGCCCACGGCUCAACCGUGGAGGGUCAUUGGAAACUGGAAAACUUGAGUGCAGAAGAGGAAAGUGGAAUUCCAUGUGUAGCGGUGAAAUGCGCAGAGAUAUGGAGGAACACCAGUGGCGAAGGCGACUUUCUGGUCUGUAACUGACGCUGAUGUGCGAAAGCGUGGGGAUCAAACAGGAUUAGAUACCCUGGUAGUCCACGCCGUAAACGAUGAGUGCUAAGUGUUAGGGGGUUUCCGCCCCUUAGUGCUGCAGCUAACGCAUUAAGCACUCCGCCUGGGGAGUACGACCGCAAGGUUGAAACUCAAAGGAAUUGACGGGGACCCGCACAAGCGGUGGAGCAUGUGGUUUAAUUCGAAGCAACGCGAAGAACCUUACCAAAUCUUGACAUCCUUUGACAACUCUAGAGAUAGAGCCUUCCCCUUCGGGGGACAAAGUGACAGGUGGUGCAUGGUUGUCGCCAGCUCGUGUCGUGAGAUGUUGGGUUAAGUCCCGCAACGAGCGCAACCCUUAAGCUUAGUUGCCAUCAUUAAGUUGGGCACUCUAAGUUGACUGCCGGUGACAAACCGGAGGAAGGUGGGGAUGACGUCAAAUCAUCAUGCCCCUUAUGAUUUGGGCUACACACGUGCUACAAUGGACAAUACAAAGGGCAGCGAAACCGCGAGGUCAAGCAAAUCCCAUAAAGUUGUUCUCAGUUCGGAUUGUAGUCUGCAACUCGACUACAUGAAGCUGGAAUCGCUAGUAAUCGUAGAUCAGCAUGCUACGGUGAAUACGUUCCCGGGUCU
rnacentral:rRNA from 1 species